UAAAGGCUUGGUCCUGACUUUACUAUCAGCUUUACCCCCAUUUAUACAUGCAAGUAUCCGCAUCCCCGUGAGAAUGCCCUCAAUCUCCCACCCGGAGACGAGGAGCAAGCAUCAGGCACUACUACAUUGCCCAAAACGCUUUGCUACGCCACACCCCCAAGGGAAUUCAGCAGUAAUAAACAUUAAGCCAUGAGCGAAAGCUCGACUUAGUUAGGGUUAUUUAGGGCCGGUAAAACUCGUGCCAGCCACCGCGGUUAUACGAGAGACCCAAGUAGAUAGCUACGGCGUAAAGCGUGGUUAAGGGUUAUACAUAAACUGAAGCCAAACACCUUCUAAGCUGUUAUACGCUAUUUGAAGGCACGAAGCCCACACACGAAAGUAGCUUCAUCAUAAAAACCUGAGCCCACGAAAACUAAGGAACAAACUGGGAUUAGAUACCCCACUAUGCUUAGCCGUAAACACAAAUAUUAAUGCACAACUAAUAUUCGCCAGGGUACUACAAGCGCCAGCUUAAAACCCAAAGGACUUGGCGGUGCUUCAAACCCCCCUAGAGGAGCCUGUUCUAGAACCGAUAAUCCACGUUUAACCUCACCACCUCUUGCCUUUUCCGCCUAUAUACCGCCGUCGUCAGCUUACCCCAUAAGGGUAAAAUAGUGAGCAAAAUGGGCAAACCCCAAAACGUCAGGUCGAGGUGUAGCGAAUGAAGUGGGAAGAAAUGGGCUACAUUUUCUAUAUUAGAAUAUCAACGAAUAGCAAACUGAAAUAAUUACUUAAAGGUGGAUUUAGUAGUAAAAAGAAAAUAGAAAAUUCUUUUGAACCAGGCUCUGAAGCGCGCACACACCGCCCGUCACUCUCCCCAACUACUUAUAUAAAGUAAAUAACCCAUAAACACUAAACACGGGGAGGCAAGUCGUAACAUGGUAAGUGUACCGGAAGGUGCACUUGGAAGAAU
rnacentral:ncRNA from 1 species